UUUGUUUUUCGACUUUUUCGGCCAACCGAGACCCCUUAAUAUGUUUUCUCACAAUGAUGAGUAUAAAACCAGCCAAAAUCAGCUAAAACUUGCCAAAAACGGCCAAGCCAAGACAAAUUGCUACCGCAGGGGCAUUGCCGUCACCAGAGGACGACGGUGCCGCCAUGUCGAAAUUUUAAAAUUUGCCGAAAAACGUUUUUGACACCGAUUUUAGAUUUUUUGGGAUAUUUUUAAAUACUUGAAACAUGUUUUAA
rnacentral:lncRNA from 1 species